AGGACGAACGCUGGCGGCGUGCUUAACACAUGCAAGUCGAGCGGAAAGGCCCUUCGGGGUACUCGAGCGGCGAACGGGUGAGUAACACGUGAGCAACCUGCCCCUAGCUCUGGGAUAGCUCCGGGAAACCGGGAUUAAUACCAGAUACGACCACUUUAGACAUCUUUUGUGGUGGAAAGGAUUCCGGCUAGGGAUGGGCUCGCGGCCUAUCAGCUUGUUGGUGAGGUAACGGCCCACCAAGGCGACGACGGGUAGCCGGCCUGAGAGGGCGACCGGCCACACUGGGACUGAGACACGGCCCAGACUCCUACGGGAGGCAGCAGUGGGGAAUAUUGCGCAAUGGGCGAAAGCCUGACGCAGCGACGCCGCGUGGGGGAUGAAGGCCUUCGGGUUGUAAACGUCCUUCAGCAGGGACGAAGCGAAAGUGACGGUACCUGCAGAAGAAGCGCCGGCUAACUACGCGCCAGCAGCCGC
rnacentral:rRNA from 1 species